CAGUAGCCGCGGGAAUACGGAGGGCGCGAGCGUUACCCGGAUUUACUGGGCGUAAAGGGCGUGUAGGCGGCCUGGGGCGUCCCAUGUGAAAGGCCACGGCUCAACCGUGGAGGAGCGUGGGAUACGCUCAGGCUAGAGGGUGGGAGAGGGUGGUGGAAUUCCCGGAGUAGCGGUGAAAUGCGCAGAUACCGGGAGGAACGCCGAUGGCGAAGGCAGCCACCUGGUCCACUUCUGACGCUGAGGCGCGAAAGCUUGGGGAGCGAACCGGAUUAGAGACCCGAGUAGUCCCUGUCUCUUAUAC
rnacentral:rRNA from 1 species